GUUGUUGAAUUCUCUGAUGUGUUGAUGUUAACUUUCGUGAUAUUGAUGAUCGUACUGCUCUUCAUAUUGCUGCUUGGCAAGGCUUCACUCAAGCUGUUUCCGAACUAAAGCAGGCCAAAUUGAUCUCAAAUAUCGCUGGGGCAGCACUCUUCUUGCAGAUGCUAUAUAUAUUACAAAACCACGACGUGAUUAAACUUUUGGAAAAACGUGGUGCUGGUGCAAAGCCUCUGAUGGCUCCUAUGCACGUGAGGUCCUGGAAUACGAAAUCAAUCCCGAUGAACUUGAUUUUACUAACAGUGUAGAAUUAGCUAAGGGAACCUUUUGUAGCAUCAUGGCGAGGAAUUUAAGUUGCUGUUAAAAAGCUUGGUGAGGAAGUGCUUCGAGACAACGAUAAAUGACCAUUCAGAGAUGAACUUGCAUUGCUUCAGAAAUACAGCAUCAAAAUGCGAUCCAGUUUCUGGGUGCUGUUACUCAAAGUUGCCCAAUGAUGAAUGUGACGGGAAAUCUUGGUGCAUUCUUGAAAAGCAAAGGAGCAUUAAAACGAAUAGCAGCUGUGAGACUUGCACUUGAUAUUGCGAGGUUCUUUAUUAUUAUUAUUUUUAACUUUGCCAUUAAUGCAAACCCCUCCCCAUAAAACGCCUGUUUAUAUUUUCAUGGAGUUUAUUAUUAUUCUGAAUAUCCAAUUUGUUGCAAAUGGUGAUAAUUGUUCGAUUGGAUGCUUAUACAUUAGUUACUGACCAAGAACUUUAAUUAACAUUUUGUAGUUAUAUCACUUUGUUUGCUUGAAGAAAAUAUUGAACUGAGCUUGAAAGUUGUGGAGCUCUGUGUUAACAGAUUGACAAUGAAUGCCUAGUUUGCCCCCCAAAAGAAACGGUUGAUUGAGGAGUGCUGGCAUGAGAAUAAAGCUAAGCGACUGACUUUCAGGCAAAUACUAACAAGACUGGACACUGUUCAUAACAGCAUGGCUCACAAGAGGGCGGAAAGGUUUCUCCCCUCUCUGAAUAUGUGUGUGUGGUGAUGGUGUACUGCACUUGAAUGAGUAACGAAAAUUUUGACAUUAAACUUUAUCUGACUACCUCUAAAGCCUGCUCCUUUAAAGAACCAACCUUUUCUGUGUUGAAUGGCUUCAAUGCUUUAUUUUGUCCCUAGUGGAGUUAAUACAUUCCAAUUCUUUUCCUUUUCUUUUUCUGGGUUGUGUGAGUAGAAGUUGUGAUGAUAAAGCUUGGAAAUUGAUAAUUUACCCAAAUUAUAUGAAUUGAACCUUCUCUUGAGAGCUACAUUUUUCAA